GUGGUCAUGGAGGUUGGAGAAACCCAUUAACUUCUUUAUUUCUAUACGAUCUCCCUACCUUGGAUGGCAAUGUUAGGCUGUUAGAACUGAGGGAUGGAGCACUGCUGAAUACAUCAGAACCUCUAGUUGAUUUGCAGUGUUGUGUGUUAGGAGCUAGAUACAUUAGGACUAAUGUCAAUUCUGUGCAUAUUUUACAUCCGUCAUCAGCGCGCACUGCAUAAGAAGAGUCUGCAAGGGGAAGAUAUUGUCUCUUCUCCCUCCUCCCUAUCCCCUCCAUAAUAUUUUUUAAUGCCCCCCCUCCUCCUUCAUUCCCUCCCUCUCCCCCUCCCUUUGCUAGCCCUUUACACACACAUGUGCUGGUAAAAUUGGACCUUGGUGCGGCUCCCAUGACGUUAGACGGGGGUGUGCUGAGCAGUGAUGGGGAGCUUCACCUAGAGCUGGGUUAAGGUAAGUAAACUUUAUUUUAUGUAGCAGGGAACCUAUAGAAUAAUGCCAACAUUAUUAAAUUCUACUUGAAUUGAGAAAGGGUGGAGAAAUCUUUUAAACUUAUAAAUGAUUUAGGUGGAUGAAGAUUAUUGAUGCUGGGAGAAACCCAGUUUUAUCUCAAAGACUCGGCAGUGGUUUAACAAAUGAAACGGGGUGGGGGCACCCAAAAACCUGUUAGGCGCAUAUACACUGUUGUUCAGUAAAGUGAGAAUUCAAAGUGAGCUUUAACAGUCAAGACAAAAUAGCCAAACAGGAAACAUUCUCUAAGUCUGCUAUGCUUCCAAUUUAGCUACUUUGGUCUUAAAUUUGAAAUUCACUUUGAAUUCUCAUGUCAGUGAAAAGCACUGAUAGUGUUCUUUUCAUUUGACAAUACUACUGUGUGUACAAGCUGAGAUAUAAAGCAUUUUCAGCAGAUGGAAAUCGAC